UGAUUAUUUUGGCCACGGGACAACAAUAGCGGUUCAUGCUGCUGAUAUAAUUGCUUUGUCAAAGGUUUUGCUAGUUUGCAACUGUGAUAUGCUUUUUUAAUAUGGCGACAAGAAGAAUGAGGGCAACAACUUCUAAAUCAAGUGGUGUAACUCCU